GAUGAACGCUGGCGGCGUGCCUAAUACAUGCAAGUCGAGCGAACAGACGAGGAGCUUGCUCCUCUGACGUUAGCGGCGGACGGGUGAGUAACACGUGGAUAACCUACCUAUAAGACUGGGAUAACUUCGGGAAACCGGAGCUAAUACCGGAUAAUAUAUUGAACCGCAUGGUUCAAUAGUGAAAGACGGUUUUGCUGUCACUUAUAGAUGGAUCCGCGCCGCAUUAGCUAGUUGGUAAGGUAACGGCUUACCAAGGCAACGAUGCGUAGCCGACCUGAGAGGGUGAUCAGCCACACUGGAAUUGAGACAAGGUCCAGACUCCGACGGGAGGCAGCAGUAGGGAAUCUUCCGCAAUGGGCGAAAGCCUGACGGAGCAACGCCGCGUGAGUGAUGAAGGUCUUCGGAUCGUAAAACUCUGUUAUUAGGGAAGAACAAAUGUGUAAGUAACUAUGCACGUCUUGACGGUACCUAAUCAGAAAGCCACGGCUAACUACGUG
rnacentral:rRNA from 1 species